rnacentral:rRNA from 1 species
AAUGAACGCUGGCGGCGCGCCUAAUACAUGCAAGUCGAGCGAGAAGACGUAGCAAUACGUUUGUAAAGCGGCGAACGGGUGAGGAAUACAUGGGUAACCUACCCUAGAGUGGGGAAUAACUAGCCGAAAGGUUAGCUAAUACCGCGUACGCUCCUUGGACUUCGGUUCAGGGAGGAAAGCGAUGCCGAGGGUAUCGCGCUCUUGGAUGGGCUCAUGUCCUAUCAGCUUGUUGGGAGGUAACGGCUCACCAAGGCUUCGACGGGUAGCUGGUCUGAGAGGACGAUCAGCCACACUGGCACUGCGACACGGGCCAGACUCCUACGGGAGGCAGCAGUAAGGAAUAUUGCGCAAUGGGCGAAAGCCUGACGCAGCGACGCCGCGUGGGGGA